UUAUCUUUAUCGAACAGUGUCUGAUUUUGUUUCAAGUAUUAAACAUUUAUAUUUGAAUAAACAUGAAAAUUGUUCAAGUUUUUCUUCUUUUCCUUGUCGCCAGGUUGGGAGAAUCUGCGACUUUUUGUGAGUUUACCCUGAAUACUCUUGUAAUGAACUUGUCCGGGGACUCUAGUCUAGAUAUUCAGGCUGCAGCUUUGAUAGAAAAUGUCUGCACACAGCUAACGAAUGAGGAAGAUGUAAAAUCUUGCGAAAGAAGCAGUAGAUCCUACUGGCCCUACCUGGCUCCGUAUAUAUAUGAGGGGUUUAUAUCAGGACAGGCCGAGGAUAUCUGUGCUGUUGAACAUGAUUGUCAAAGUAUGUCUUGUGAAGAAUGCCUACUAAGAAUGAAUGAUGUCUCAACCGAACUAAAUUCUGAAGAGUCUAUUAUAGAAAUAAUAAACCUUGUUCAGGGUGAGCUUUACUGUAACAUGGAGAAUGCUUGGUGGGAUAUAGAAAACUGUCAAUCCGAGGUCUCAUGGUUUAUACCAAGAGCACUGCCUGUAAUUGGAUCAAUCAUAACAGAAGAUGUUCAGUCCCGUGAAUUCUGCUCUGCUACAGUUGGGGGUAUCUGCUGAUAUCCCCCCUCUUUGAUUUUUGGGGUUACCCAUUAAAUACCCCCCUUCCUUUUACUCAACUCUUCGGAAGGACGAGAAUUUCGAGGUGGCUCGGACGAGAAUUUUUUUGGCUGGCCUUCCUCGCCACGCUGAAUGCAUUGACAUAUACAUAUAUAAACUUUUCUUGUCUGUGUGUUUGUCUGUUUGUUUAUUUGUAUCCAAUAAACGUUAAAACGA